GUGGAUUAGAUACCCGGGUAGUCCACGCCCUAAACGUUGAUUACUCGUUGUUGGCGAUAUACAGUCAGCGACCAAGCUAAAGCGUUAAGUAAUCCACCUGGGAAGUACGACCGCAAGGUUGAAACUCAAAGGAAUUGACGGGGGCCCGCACAAGUGGAGGAGCAUGUGGUUUAAUUCGAUGAUACGCGAGGAACCUUACCUGGGCUUGAAAGUUAGUGACGUUCUGUGAAAGCAGAAUUCCCUUCGGGGCACAAAACUAGGUGCUGCACGGCCGUCGACAGCU
rnacentral:rRNA from 1 species